GUGGGGAAUCUUCCGCAAUGGACGAAAGUCUGACGGAGCAACGCCGCGUGAGUGAAGAAGGUUUUCGGAUCGUAAAGCUCUUUCGUUAGGGACGAACGUGCUCUUUGUGAAUAAUGAGGAGUAAUGACGGUACCUAAAUAAGAAGCCACGGCUAACUACGUGCCAGCAGCCGCGGUAAUACGUAGGUGGCAAGCGUUGUCCGGAAUUAUUGGGCGUAAAGCGCGCGCAGGCGGGAUAUCAAGUCUGUCUUAAAAGUGCGAGGCUCAACCUCGUGAGGGGACAGAAACUGGUAUUCUUGAGUGUCGGAGAGGAAAGUGGAAUUCCAAGUGUAGCGGUGAAAUGCUUAGAUAUGGGGAGGAACACCAGUGGCGAAGGCGGCUUUCUGGACGGUGUCUGACACUGAGGCGCGAAAGCCAGGGGAGCGAACGGGAUUAGAAACCCGGGUAGUCC
rnacentral:rRNA from 1 species